rnacentral:rRNA from 1 species
GACGGAAGGUGCAAGCGUUGCUCGGAAUCACUGGGCGUAAAGGGUGCGUAGGCGGCCUGGUAAGUCUGGCGUGAAAGCCCAGGGCUCAGCCCUGGAAGGGCGCUAGAAACUGCGAGGCUGGAGUGCCGGAGGGGAGGGUGGAAUUCCUGGUGUAGCGGUGAAAUGCGUAGAUAUUGGGAGGAACACCGGUGGCAAAGGCGGUUACCUGGACCGGUACUGACGCUGAGGCGCGAAAGCUAGGGUAGCAAACAGG